UGCCCGUGCCCGCCGGGGGCUCCCCGGCCCGGCCUCCUGCCAGCCCCCCGGCCGGCCCCCCGCGGCUCCCGGAGCCCCUCAGCCGCGGCAGCGGUGCAGCGCGCUGAGGCGAUGGGCGGCUCCCAGCCGCCCGGGGGGCUGCACCCACCGGGGGACCCCCCUUCGCGUCAGGGCUUUCACCGGCUGCAGGCCGCAGGGGCCCGCGCGUGGGUCACGGACCGGAGCGGCUCGGCAGGUCGCUGGUCCCCAGUCCCUGGCGGCCUUGGGCAGCCGAGGCCCGCGCGCACAGGCCUCGGUUCGGCCUUGACAAUCCCUGCCUGGCUCCUACCCGUCCCGCUCGCCUCGCCCGCGGUGGAGCCCGCAACAAGCCCCGUAACAGCUGCCUUAUGUCGGACCGUGUGGGAUAAGGCCGUGGAGAUGUGAUGGCAGCAGGUUAUUUCCCGCCGUGGCUCAUUUCCUUCCCGGGGGCAGGGACCGGGCUGGCAGUGCGCUGCUCUGCUCUGCCAAGCGCUGACGCUUCGGGCCCCUCCGCCCAACAGCAGGCAGGUCUGAAACCUGCACCUGCACGCCCGCGCUGCAGGGUCAUUUAGCUGGCAUUCUUUGCACCACAGUGGCACGUGUGAGACUUGGCUAGGAGCUGUACAGACUUUAAGUCCUUUGGCAAAAUGUGGCUCUCGGCAUAUUCAACGUGUGGUCAUCAAAGCGACGUGCCCCAGCGUGGUCUCUUGGAAACUGCCACUGUUCCUGAAUGCUCAAGGAGCACCAAGAGCAUAAAAGGUUUUUCCAGAUAAUUGAGUGAAGAAGACUAAAAUAAUAGAAUACUUGGGGAAAGAAAUGUCUGAUGGGCCAACAAUUUCUUAGCCCUUCAUCCUUCAAAUUUAAGGAGUUUUCUUCUUUUCAUUGUUUAUCUCAUUUAUAAAUAAGUAAGAGGAAAACUUACAGAAAAGAGGAGCACUGAUUUGGAAGGAGUCAUGUUCCUGAAGGAUGCAUCAUCAGUUCUCAAAAGUCAGGUUUGAACUUUUUUUUAGCCUUAGGCACAGAAGUGCUGGCUAAUUUAAAAUAUCCUGGACUAGCUGUGAGAGUUGCACCAUCUCCUUGGCUUUAAAGGAUACCUUACUAAAAUAGGAGAGAAGCCUAUAUUUUUCCUAAUAAAAAUUAAUUUUUUGAAAUUAA